rnacentral:tRNA from 1 species
GGACGCAUAGCUCAGUUGGUUAGAGCACCACGUUGACAUCGUGGGGGUCCCCCGUUCGAGUCGGGGUGUGUCCA